UCUCACAUAAAAUUUAGGUUACUGGACUAGGAUGUAAGGAUCCACAGGGUUCUUUUAGGCACUGAACUAUAAAGUUAAUAACCCUUGUUUUAGUGUUCUUUUUGAAAUUUCAUGUAUCGUUCCACUAGUAGAGUGGAUAAAGAAAUUGGGCCAGGAAUAGGAGGCCAGGUUCUCACUCUGGGUCUUCGCUUAGUAGCAGUAAGACCUUAAGGUAUGGCAUCCACCCAGGUCCAGUUUCCUCACCUCCUCAUCUGUGAAAUAGAGUAGAAUGAGGUGUUCUUAGGAGUAUGAAAAAUCUAGAUGAAAUUCUGUGAUUAUUUUGUCUUCUUUUCGCUGUAUAUUCUUUUUGUGUUCUUUUACAGCAAAACAAUAAUUGGUACAUUUUAGGCAUACAUAAGGAUAACACUCAUCAUAGGGAAUUUGCCCCUGUCCAUGACACAUCCCGCCUUUUUUUCCAUCCUCCCCUCCCCUCAAGUCCCCUCCCCUCCCUGAGUACAAAAGCUUUGUUUCCAUUUUUUCCUUCUAUUUUUACUUUUUUUCUUGUCACUUUUUUCUUUUCUCCCUCCUUCUUCCCUUAUUCCCCUUCCCAUUUGAACAUUUUCUUCCCAUUUCCCAGUAUCUGUUAUACAUUUUAGUUUUUAUUUCCACUUUUGGUUUCUCACACCAGAGAAACAAUGUGACAUUUAAACAUGUGCAUCCGAUUUAUUUCAGUUUAAAGUAUGGUCUCAAGGUCUAUCCAUUUAGCUAUAAAUGUCUGAAGCGCAUCCUUUAUGGAAGAAUAGUACUCCAUUGUAUGAAAAAUCCACAUCUUCUUUAUCCAUUUGUUCAAUGAUGACCAUUUGGGGUGUCUCCAAGCUUUAGCUACUACCAACUGUGCUGCUAUAAACAUGGGUGUGUAUAUAUCGCUGUGGUAUGAUGCUUUCAAUUUUGGGAGGAAGAUAACAAGAGGGGGAAUAGUUGGAUCAAAUGGAACAUCUAGUUUUAGUUAUUUGAGAAAUCUCUACACUGAUUUCCACAGUGGUUGCACCAGUCUGCAUUCCCACCAACAAUGGAGAAGGGUUUCUCUCUCCCACAGCCCCUCCAGCAUUUGUUAUUGGUUGAUUUCUUGAUAGCAGCCAUUCUUUCUGGGGUGAGGUGGAAUCUCAGUGUUGUUUUCAUCUGCAUCUCUCAAAUGACCAGUGGUAUUGAACAUUUUUUAUAUGUUUAUUUGCUGUUUCUACUUCUUCAUCUGAGAGGUUUCUGUUCAUUUCAGAUACCCACUUUUGGAUUGGGUCUUUGAAUUUGAGGGGUCUGAUUUUUUGAGUUUUUUAUAGAUUCUAGAUAGUAGUCCUUUGUCUGAUGACAGCUGGUAAAAUUUUCCCACACACUGGGUUGUCUCUUCACUCUGUUGGUGGUUUCUUUUGCUGUAUAAAAGUUUUUCAGUAGGAGAUACCAGUUGUUGAUUCUUUGUGAUUCUUUGUUGAUUCUGUGCAAUCCAGGUUCUGUUCAUAAAGUCUGCCUACACUAAAGUCUUCAAGAGUCCUGCCUCCUCUACCUGCCAACAGAUUUAGUAUUUCUAUUUUAAUAUUUAGAUCUUUAAUCCAUUUUGAUUUUUGUUAGUUCCUGGUGAAAGAUAUGGGUCUAGUUUCAAUCUUUGGCAUGUGGAAAGCCAGUUUUCCCAGCACCAUUUAUUAAAGAGGCUAUGUUACCUCCAGUAAAGGUGUUUGGCUCCUUUUGUCAAAGAUAAGGUGGCUGAGUGUGUCUGGAGUUCUUUCUGAAUCUUCUAAUCUGUUCCAUUUAUCCUGAAGUGUGUUUUUUUGCAAGUACUAUGGUGUUUUUAUCAUAGUAGCUUAGUAGUAGAAUUUCAAGUCAGGAAUUGUGAUGCUCCAGCCUUUUCUUUGUUGCCCAAGAUUGCCUUUUUCAUUCUAGGUCUUCUCUGGUUCCAAAUGAAUUUAAGGAUUGUUUUUUUCUAAUUCUGUGAAAUAUGUUGUUGGAAUUUUGAUCAGAAUUGUAUUAAAUCUGUAUAACAAUUUUAGAAGUAUGGCCAUUUUUACUAGAUUGGUUCUUCCUGCCCAGGAACAAGGGAUGUCCUUCCAUUUUUUGAUAUCCUCCUUGAUCUCCUUUUACAGAGUACUGUAGUUUUCAGUGUAGAGGUGUUUUACUUCUUUUGUUAGAUUGAUUCCUAGAUAUUUCAUUUUUUUGGAUGCUAUUGUGAAAAGUGGAAUUUCUAAAAAAAAGUGCAAACAUGAUAUUCUAAUACAGUGCAUAUUUAAUUUACAUUCAAAAAUUUUGGUAUACAACGCCAUACUCCAUGAAUGUAUACAGUUCUUAUGUGUCAAUUAAAAAUAAAAAGAAUGCAAGUGUAGAAUUUUCUAAUGUUUAUAUAAUUUAAAGAAAUUAUUCUUAAGAGUUUGAGUAUUCUUUAUGCAAAAUUCUUGGGAUUCAGGAUUUCAGAAUAUUUGAAUAGACUCCACAGGUUGAGUAUCUCAAAUCUGAAAACACAAAAUGCAAAAUGAAAUAAAAUCUGAAAAUUUGAAGCAUUUCUGAUUUCAGAUUUUUGGAUUAGGGAUGCUGAAUGGUGUCCUUUGUUCCCGCUAAUUCUAAGAUCUUUUUUCUUCUGUGAUUCAUUACCGUCAUUUCAUGUCAUUUGUAGAAUGUGUGUGAAAUGCCUUACAGACUUGGGACUUGGGUCAUUUAAAAAAUGUUGUGGUGCAGGUAAAAUCUUUGUGUGUAGGAGGACACUUCACAUUGUGAAACACAGCCCCAGAGCGCUCCCUGUAAGACCUGGAGCCCAGACCCUGCAUUCCAAACCUGCCUCUGUUGCAGAAGAAUUUUAAUCCCUAGGAUAAUUUAUUAACAAGUUCCUUUUUUUGCUUAUUAAAUUAUUUUCUCUAAUAUUUUUAUUAGUAUUUACAAUACAUGAAGUGUACAUUUAUCUUCAGGAGUAGGUGCAUGUAUGUAACAUAUUUUGAUUCUUUUUCACCACUUUCCCUCCUCACCUCUGUCUCUAGGUUCCCUUUCCUCAUUUUCAUUGUUCUUAUUACUGUUGUUGUUGUUGUUGUUGUUGUUGUUAUUUUAGUUCAUGAUUACAACAUACAGUGCUUAUGUACCUUGUUGGUAUUUGGUACAUGUACAUGACACAUUUUAAAUAUUUUUAUUUCUCUUUCCCCUUCCUCCUGGCCCUCACCCUUGGUCUCUUGGACCCCUUUCUGUUUGCAAAAGAUCUCCCAGUUCCCUUCUACCGAUCCUUUAUUCUGCUCUUUAUUCGCACUUUGCCUAACUCAUAUGAGAGAUACCAUGGGGUAUUUAAGCUUGUGAUGUCACGUACAUAACAUUAUAUUUUCCAGGUGUAUCCAUUUUCCUAUAAAUGUCUCUAAUUUAUCCUUUUUUUAUAGAGGAGUAGUAAUCCGGCAUGCAUAGAUACAAACAUGUUCUGAUUCUAAAUGUUCUUGCAUUAAAAUGAAGAUCAUGUCUGUUUCUCAGCUACAUUAUAAGAAAUAAGUUAGAUAGUAUCUGUGACUACACUUAACUUCAAUUUUAACAUUGAAAAGAUAUCAAGUUGAAGUUGGCAAGUCUUCGCUGAGCAUCUAAGGGGCAGUGCUCAAAGGUAGCAUGAAAGUGUCUGGUAAUAGCAAGGUAAGGCACGAGAGGAGCAGCUAGAAGCAGACGUGGUGAAUGAUGUGACGUAGACGGAACAAUGGACUAUGACUGCUGAGAUUGUGCAGUACUACUCAAGAAGGUGGGUUUGAACUGAGCUUUGGAGAAUGGGGAGGAUUUUACCAGCUAGAAAGGGAAGGAGAGUGAGCCAGGAGAGGCUUCCAAGCAGGAGGAAGACUGCCACCAGGGUUGGAUGGUUUAAUAUGUUGAUGGAACUUGGCUUCCUUUGAAAAGAAAGACAAAGAGAAGUUAUUUACAAAGAGGAAAUCAAAGUACAGCAUUGCUUUAUGUAGUAAAAAGCAAUGUAUAGUCCUAUCAGAAAUUAGUUCUACUCACAUAAAGUGCUGGAUUGUUCUUAUGUCUUAAAGAAGACAUAAGACCUUCUUGGGAUGCUUUUCCAAAUCAAGAGACAAGUAUUGUUAUAGUCAGGCAUUACUGAAAGGACCUUCAAGUGUUCUGUAAAUUUCUCCAGUAGUAGAAUAUGUCCCAUUCUUGGUGUUUUGACUAAUUAAGAUGAAAAAGUUCCAUAAAGGAAUUAGACUAGCUGAAGCAUAGCCAUAAAUCAGUAGAAGAUUAUCAUACUUAAUCUUGGUUGUUAUCCCUUAAAUUCAUGUCAUAAUCUAAUAAUUUUUCUUUGGAAUUGAUCCAGUGAAUGUCUGAAUUUCAUAGUUAAUGUCUCUGAAGAAUAAAGAAGUUAUCAGCUUUUGCCUUUCCAUAUAUAUGCCUUCCCUUUGAUGACCAUUUCUGAGAGUAUUUCAAAUAAGUUGUCAUGAAUUAGAUUGCUUGUAGGUACAUUGCAUUUCUGAAUGCCUGUAAGAAAUAUCUUUCUCACAAUUUGAGUUAAAUAUAUGUUCAGAAAGCUUCUUUAGUAUUUUCCCCCAUCUGUUCACUUUUGAGGAUGCUGAGAUUGAAGGUCACCUCACCUUCAAGAAUCGGAAUAAAAUCACUGAGAAAUUGUGUCUACACCAGGGUUUGUGUUUGAAGAAUAGAUGAACAUGGUGUGCAAAUGAGAAGAGACGUAAUGUAUUUUUAAAACAGACCAGAGUGAAUAUUUAGAAUUCCAUUUCUAACACUGUCAUUAACUCAUGGGGAGGUUUUCAGGAGAGAAGACAUCUUUAAGUUUUGGCUUAUUGAUGGAUAGAGCAUUUUAAAGAAAAGACAGGGAAUGAUAUCUGUUCUACAUGAGAUCAGAGACUAGAUCUCAGUGUGGCUACAUUACAGGUGAAAGACCAUACUGGCCACAGUGCCAGGUGAUUUAUUGUACUUCUAGUUUUAGAUUUAUUCUUACAAAACUGAUGGUGAAUUUUUGACACAUGACAACACUCACUUUUACUUCUCUUAUAGGGGCCAAAUCUGAUUGGCAUAUAAUAAUAACGACAGAUAUUUGUGGCUGAAUCAAUGAAAAACUCAAGGGCGUAGAGAUUACACUUUUCAUUAGAAAGUGGUGAAAAAUUAUUUCUUCUUUAGUUCUUUUAAUUUUGUACUAUCCUUCACUAGUUUAUGACCUUAAACAGUGACCUUUUCAACAUAUUUAAUCUUUAGAUUCUCUAACUAAAAACCGUCACGGUGCCUGUCAGGUUAGUGUGGAUUACGUUAGAUGUCUUAAUUUUAGCACAGUUUUAAGGAAAAUGUACAUUAUAGAUUUGUUUGCUAUCUGUCUUACUUUCCUGGUGCUCUUGAAUAUUGUGUUGGUUUUCUGUUGCUGAAACAAAAUAGCAGAGAUAGUCAACUUAAAAGAGAGAAGGUUUAUUUUACUUCAUAGUUUUCAUCUGUGAUGGAUUGCCACAUUGCUUUUGGUCCUGUAGCAAGCCAGUAUGGUGGGAGCCUGGAGUGGAGAAAGCUUGUUCACCUCAUGGCCAGGAAUGGAGGACAGGGAGGAAACAGUUUGUCCCACAGUCCCUUUGUAAGGCACACCCCCAGUGACCUAAAACUCACCCCCCCACACACAUUUUAAAGUUUCUCCCACCUCCCAGUAGCACCCAGCAGGGUACAGAGCCUUUAACACUUGGUCCCAAUCCAAACUACAGCAGAUAGCUUUUCCUCCAUUUUUUCUCCUCUGGUGAGAGACAUGACAUUUAGAGUGUUACUAGGUAUAGCGUUUUUCACCUUUUUAUGGCAGGAUAUACUUGUUUAAUUAUGUGAAGGGACAGAAUUUCUGGGACCUCUUCUGUCUGUGUAUGAACUAGUUGUAGGAUUAUAAAGAUGUCAAACUAGAAGAGGACCCUGUAUUUGACCCUUUGCGGACAGAUCAGAAAAAAGCUUGCCAUAUACUUACAAAAAUUAAAAGUCAUUUACUGAUAAGAUUGAUUCUUUUUUAUUUUCAAGUUAACCAGACUGUGGGAGUAUCUUCUCCCCCCCCCCAUAUCUAAAUUUCAGCACCUUCUGCCAUUCAUCCAUUUUAAUUUCUUCUAUACUUCAUAGCUGGAGAAACUCCAACCAAAAACCCUUGAUUUUGACAGGAUUUCAUGUAAUUUACCCAAAACAAUGCACAUCUGUUUCUUUCACAUGUCAGCAUACUGACACACAUGCACAUAGAAUAUUUGAAAAAAAGUUAUGUAGGAAGGCUAAUUAUAUGUUUCUUUAACCAUACCAUUUUUGUGAUUACAUUCACAGGAAAAACUUUAGCAAAAUAAUAUUGAAGAGCAACCUUUUCAUUGCUUGGUAAAGUUAUUUUUCUUUUUACCAUUGAAUUAUUUCAGUUGGUCGGCAGUCAGAUUGCUCCCAAUGCUGAUCUAUGGGAAAAUAAGUGUUCAGUAGUUGGAGCAAUUGCAUUCUGAAUUCUUCUGUUAGUUUCUUCGUCUUCCUCAUCCUCUUUGGCCUGGUCAGUCAUGAAGAUGCUGGCACCCAGGGUUCUGGCUUCUUCCUGUAAGGAGCAGCUGUUUGUUCUGUGUCGGAUCACAUGCCCAGCUGUGCCUGCUUGUCUUGCGCCUAUCCCUGGCCACCUAGCCCCUUGGAAUAAAUCUUUCCAUCCAUCACAACUGGUAGAAAAACACUUCAAAGUGCCUGUGUUCCUGUAGAGGGGCUCAUCAUCUUGGGUGCACGUGAAACGGCAUUGUUGCUGCUUUGGAAGGCCACUGCUUCUGAGAUGCUGGUGCUUGUUUGCAUCCUCUCAGUGCCCACCAGUCCUUCACACACCUUGAGGCCUGUAAGAGGCAGUGAACGCCAGAAUAGCUACUCACGAGCUCAGGGGCACUUCUUACUGCUCUCUGGUCACCCCUGCUACCUUUCCUGCUAUGGAAUUAUUGUGUUUAUUUUGUCUUAUUCUUCUCAUUAGGAUCCGGUCCAAGGGGCAGACAAGUGUCUCUAGAUAUUUAAUGAUAUCAAAAUAGACAUAAGCCAUUUGCUAUUGAGACAUAGAUUAUGCUUUAAAAUGACGAAAAGUUGUGAAGUAUGUAAGAGAAAGGUUGAGAGUUAUUAGUAUACUGAAGAAGUACUUAAAUCCAGUUUUCAGAUCUUACCAGUUACGUUUUGUAAGUUUUUUUUAAAGUCCAACUCUAGAUUUUUAUGCUCAAAGUGCAGUGUAUGUUUCCUCUAAUGCCACCAUUUGGGGUAUAUACGUUUCUACAGGCAAAUGUUGUAAAAUAUGGGGAUGGUGAUGGAGGAGUGCAAAUUAAGCAAAUUGGAAAGUCAUUUAUAUGUGUCAAUGUGAAAUUGUAUUCUUUCAUUUUAAUUUAUGUUAUAGCUACUUUAAGAAUCAGACUUUCUAAAGAGCUCUUCAUUUUAGCCAUUUAUAGCAAGCAUUUAAAAACUACAUGAAAUCAUUACUGUACUGCCGGGUGGAUCAUAAUUUAGAUACUUGCCCUGGUAAUCUAGUCUGUCUUAUUUUUACAUAAACUAUAUUAAGGUAAAUAACUUCUUUCCCUGAUGCCAGGCAAUUGCAAAAGUGUGACCAGUCUUACUACAUUCCAAGAAUGCUAAAAUACAAGCUGUAUUUUUACAGAAUGUAGUUAACGGCAGCAAAGAUGUGUAAUGGUGGGCAGAAAAUUAGGGAGGAGUUCAAUUUAAGUACGGAAAAGGCCAAAAAGGAAAGUUAGUGAAGACCAGGAAAGAUGAUAAUAUGAUCAAAAAUAUGGUGAAUGUUUAAGUAUUUUUUUAAAAAAAGAUUAUUACAGUAAAAAACACGUUGCCAUUAAUCCUCCUCAAAGUACUCCCUUUCACUUUGAACACACUCAUCCCAUCAUUCUUGACACUUUUCUGAAGCAGUUCUGGAAGUCCUCUUUCAUGAGUGUCUUUAGUUGCAUUCUUCUGGAUGCCAUGAUGCCUUAAAUUGAUUCACAGUGUUUUACCUUUUAUAGUCAUUUAGACGUUGAGAGGCGUGUUCAUUGUAUAUAGAUAUUCUUUAUCCAUUCAUCUAUUGAUGGAUAUGUAGGCUGCUUCCAGGCUUUAGCUGUUAUGAGUUGCGGAGCUCUAAACAUAGGUAUGCGUGUAUCACUAUGGAAAGGUGUCUUUAACUCUUUGGGGAAGCUAUCAAGAAGGGGAAUAGCUGGAUCAAAUGGAAUUUCUAGUUUUUGUUUCUUGGGGAGUCUCCGUACUGAUUUCUUUAGUGCCUGUAGCAGUUUACACUCCCACCAAUAAUGUAGAAGAGUGUCCCUCCUACCCUCUCCAGCAUUUGCAUUGUUUGUGGGGUUUUCCUUUUGAUAGCCAUUCUUUCUGAAAUAAGAUGGAAUUUCUUUUUUCUUUUUUUUGUCUUUUCACUUCUCUGGUGGCCAGAGAUGUUUAGCAUUUUUCUGUGUUUAUUAGCCAUUUGUACUUCUUCUGAGAAGUCCAUUCAUUUUAGUUGUCCAUUUCUUGAUUGGAUCUCUAUUGCCUUCUCUUAUAUGAAAUACCUAAAAUCUAAAUAAUUUCACAAUAAUAAAGCAAGAGAUAAACAAUAGGGAAUGGGGAGAUGGACCUUCUGCAAGUGAGAAGGGGAUCCAGAGUCAAGGGAGGGGGUGGACAGGAGAGGAAGGGAUUAAAAAGGAUUAAUACAUGUUAAGUACAUGUACCUACCCUCUAAGAUGAACGUAAGCAUUGUGCGCUGCCAAUAUGUGCUAAUAAAAAUUGAAGAAAACAAAAGUUGUCUGUUUCCAGAUCUGAUGAAUGAGGACACACUGUAAUGUUUUUAUUUGACAGAAAUUACCAUAAAUGGCUGAUCGGUGAGGGUGAUCAAAAAUAUGGUGAAUUCUUAAAAGCGAUUAUUUCAGUAAAAACACAUUGCCGUUAAUCUCCCUCAGAGUACUGGCCUUGAGCGCACUUGUCCCUUUGUUCUUGGCAAUAUGCCAUUUACUGUAGUGUUUUUUGUCUAAUUUAAAGAUUUCUCUUAAUUUUCUGUAACCCCUGUAUUUCCAAGAUAGUGCAAACAAAUUUAAACUCCAUGUGGAUAUGUCUUUCUUUAGGGAAGUCAGGCUGGACAAAGGCAUGGAGGAAUCUUAAGCGUUGAGAUUGACUGUUUUCUGAAUUCUUACUCCUUUGUGCCUUUUGUGUUGUCCUAUUACUUCUUUAAUUCACUUCCUCCUUUUCAUUGCUAGAUACCAUUUCCAUUUCAGGUGUCUCCUGCUGCUGCUUUUCUCGCCCACAUUUAGAAUUCAGUGAAUCGUUCUGUGCUGAUGUAAGGUGUAGGAUUCCUGUUGUGCUCAGGGUAACCUGGGCCAGGGAAGGAUUACACUUAUGACUGUCCAUGUGAGGGUACCGUGCUAUUUUUUAUUAAAGGUAAAAAUAUACCAGUCUUGGUUAUUAUUACUGACAAUGAUGGUAUGGUAACAAUAGCAAGGCCAGGGGUGUGGAAGCUAAAACUAGCAGUAUUCCCAGCUAGGGGUUCCACUUCCUUUCCUGGAUCUUCUUUUUUGAAGAGGCAGUAACCCGGUUGUAUAGUUUCUUAAUAAACCACUUCCUAACCAAGGAACAGAGUGACUAUUGUUAGACCAUGUCCUGCCAUGGUAAAGGGCUAAAGCUGGAAGUGUGAAAGGCUCAGAGGUGAAAAGACCCUGCAGCGUAGCCAAGGUUGGUGGAGCUGUGCAUGGCAUGAGAGAAGAGAUGACAGGUGUGUUGUGGACCAAGCUUGGUUCAUCCCCGGAGUGGACAUCUAGAACAGGGAUGGGUCUGAGAAAGAUUUAGAAGAUUCCAGGAGACUUGGUGAUUAAUAGGGAAUGGGACUUGUGCAAGGACAAGAUUUGAACGUGAUACCUGGGGACUAGGUUCGGAUAUACAGAUAGGUGGUAGAGAAAAUACAUCAAGAAUGCAGGUUUAUAAAGGAAGACUGAUGUCUCUCUUCAGGACACUGGAAUAUUUGCAGAAUUUCUCUUUUCUGAAAGAGAAAAUGUGUUUCGCUCUCAAGAUUUUUGUAGUGAAUCCAAAAACACAAGCUUUUAAUGUUUUUGAAGAAGUGAACCUCUUCCUCAAAGACUGUUCUAGUUCUUCCUUCACUGCCACUAAAGUAAUGCUGAGUAUAAAUCCUCCAUGAUGUGAAUAAUGAAAAAUUUGUGUAGCUCUCUAAACUUGGGAGGUACAUUACGUUUGCCUUUGUGACUUUAUGGAUAUUAGGUUUGGAUUGUGGUUAAGCUAAUGAACUGAGGAACUCAAGCUGAUGGCCUCAUCAUUCAAUUCAGCAGCCUGUCUUAAAUUUCAGACUAAUAUCUAUGUUUAUACAUGAUUGCUUAGCCAGAAUUCUUUUGGUACAUUAACAUUUUCCAUACUUAACUCAUGCUGAAUUUUAAUAGACAUUUUUCACUUUGAGAAGACCUUAAACUUACGAAUAUUUAUAGUUUUUACUUCCAUGAUGGUCUUGUCGAUUUAACAUUACAAGUGUAUUUAUGUGAUAUGACAUAGACCAACAGAACAAUCAUAGUGUACGGUUCUGAAAAUUUAUGAUAGUAUUUGGGUUGCUGUAUCAGCUCAAGCAGUUGCAUUCAUUGAAAUAACUGUAAAAUUUUUUGUAGCUUUUGAAUAGAGCAAAAUGCAAAAUCUCUUGACAAAUCCGUUUUUUGGAAAUCCUGGAAUCAUUUUGCACUUUUCCGAUGACAUGAACACUGUGUAAGUUAGUAACCCUAGAAAUAACAAAAUUUUGGGUUUGUAAAGUAUAACAUUUGUCUUUCUGUCUUUAUAGGGAAUUUUUUUAAGAAUGAAAAUAGUCACAGUAUUACCAUGGAUAUAAAUCAUCAACGUGAAGUAGUUUUUUGAUUGAUAGAUGAGAAUUAUAGAAGUCAUAUAGCCAAUAUAAAUUAGUGUUUUCAAGUUUCACAUAUAACCAGUGUAAGGUCAUCUCACUGUUUGAUGAUAGUCUACAAAAUGUAUUUCUAUUAUGAUAGUGCAGAGGGUUUUUUGGGUAAUUUUUACUUUUGAUUUUUAGGGUAUAUAUGCUGCAUUUAAGACAAAGAGGAGCUAAAGAGAAGUUUUUGAUGAUUUGAUAGCUCUUUGGUUCAUGUGUGGGGCGGCCUGUGGUGUGAUAAGAAUAGAAAUAUUGUUUCAUUCAAAAAAAUCAAUUGAGAUUUGAUUGUAUCAGUGCUUGUCUUGAAAUUUAUACAGGAAUUCUAGACAUUACCUCCUGAGCCCUGCCUCAUGUCAGAUCAGGGCAGCAUUAGAUUCUCACAGAGAAAUACUUCAGAUUUUCCGUGGCCAUUUCUAUAGUGGGUGAACUUCAUUGACAGAGUUGACAGGGCUCCCAAUGGGCUCUUGGAAUUUCUAGGAGUUCAAGAACUAGAUGGAUAAAACAGUUACACUUUUAUUUUCACUAAUACCUAAUUGCAGUUAUUUCCCUUGAUUGUGAAUGUGGUCAUAGUAAUAUUGACCAAACCUCCACUUUGCCACUGAUGAAAAUCAAAGUUAUUUUUAUAUAAUAUAGUUAUAGAUCUGAAACUAUUAAAUUCAUCAUUACUUCAAAAUUAUAUUUAUUACACCGUGGUCUUGUUAUUUAAUAAAGGAGUAAAUGACUGUGUCAUAUUUUUAAAUAUUUUGAUAACUGUCAAUCUUACUGAUUUCUGUCUAGUUACUGAUUUAAUCUAGUUAUGACACUUCCAAAAUGUCUUUCAGAGAACGGGUCCAUAGACUUCAAUAGGGUGCCACGAUGAUCCAUGGAACAAAAAAGGUUAAGACUUCCUGGAUAAGGGAAUAGACGGUGGGUGUUCCAGAGUUGUCCUACCUGUCCCUCACCAAGUGACCUUGGGCAUUUAGGUCCUAUGGCACUUCAUGGCAUUUGAUGAAUGACAACCAGCAGUUUAUGAGAUAAUUGUAAAGAUAAUAACAUGAGGGGGAGUAGCUUUGAGAAAAUUCAGUGUUAUACAUGCAGAAGAUGUUAUUAAAUGGACUUUUUUUUUUUGCCUUUGUAAGGACAUGGCACAUAUUAGUAAGGAUCUUUAAGACAACAAAUGAAGCAUCUAAUAUAAAUUCUACUUUCACUCUACAGUUCAGUGUGUGGCUCGGUAUCAUUACUCUUUACGGUGAAGUGCUAUGGAACAUGCCAAUUCCAAUAUAACUUCUAAAACAUUACUGUUCAUGGGAGCAAAGAGGAUUACUUUUCCCUAAAUAUUUCUUUUGAAGUCGAUUUCUGUACUGGCCAAUCCUCUAUUCCAAACCUGUGCACUUCAGUGCUCUCCAAAGCAGUGCGUCAGUCAUGCAGUCUGGGAGAAAAAUACAUGUUCCAUUUCUAACAAGCUACAGGGUUGCCUCUAUUUUUAGAUGAAAAAAAAAUUUUUAAUUAAAAAUAGAGGAAAACACCUCUAUUUUUAAAAUAUUAACAGUCAAGGAACAAAUGAGAGGAGGGAAGAACAUUGAACUUGGUGCUGCAAGUUUUACAAAAUUUUAGUUUCCUGAAAACCUCAUGUAGCUCAUGAAUACUAUGCAUUUGACAAAUGAAUACACUAGGGUCAAUUGGAAAUGUGCUAGAGGGUCACAUUUCUAAAAAGUUACAGAAUUUAGACUCAAAUUCAGGGUUAAAUAUAAAUCCAUCUCAUUUCAUUAAAUAGAGUUACUAAGUAAAAUUAUGUAUGUGGGCAUUAAUUUUGAAAUGUGAAGUAUUGUUUAGAAUUUUCUGUUUUUCAUGCAUGAUACAUUUUUUCAUUGAUAUUUGAGACAGAAGAGUAUUUUUAACCGUUUGAAAUUAUUGGUGAGGCUUGAUAUAUAGACGAAUGGUAAGCAUAGGCUUUAAUUAUUGUGAAAAGUGCCAUGUCUCCUGAUGCCCAAGCCUGAUAUAGAUGCAUAUUUUGAAAGUUUAAGUGAAUGAGCAACUGAAAAAUGGAUGGAAGGUGUAUUAUCAUGGGUCAAAAUUGUGACUCACAUAAACAGGACAUUGACUUGGGAUAAAUGUCUCUUCAGAGAACACUAGCAAUAGUAGACAAGAUAACAAAAGGGCUGGGGAUGUAGCUCAGUGAUUCCACCACCUGCCUCACAAGCUCAAGGUCCUGAGUUUGAUCCCUGGUACAAAAAAAAAAAAGAUAACCAAAAAAAGGAAAAUGUCACAGGAAAAAUAAGUUUGCACUGUUGACUGGCCCCUGGUAGUCAUCAGGAGUUUGGUGCGUAUCAUUUCACGUAUUGUCCUCAUUCGUAGGAACUCAGGCGCUUGGUUCAGGCAGUGUACUCCCGCUUCAUGGAGAAGUGAGGUGACAUUAUGGAAGGUGAGGUAAUGUUGUCAUUUUUACAGAUGAAACCCAAUGCCAGGUCAUCUCAUUCAGAAUCUGCCCCCCUUUCGACCGUAUCUCACCAUUCCAUGUGGAGAGGGGUGAGGACAGGAGGAGGAAGUGGGAAAGAGAGAUGCACAUCAUGGAGAAUAUGAAAAGCUGCAAAACAAAGCAGAAAGAGGUCACGAGCAGAAACGUGAACCCUUGGAGUGUGGACUAAGACGCUCCCUUCAGGCUGAUGCAAUAUGCCUUCUUCAGAGACCCUUCCCAUCCUUCUUGUCCCUUUGCCACAUCAGUCUCUCCUGUGAUAUGUCACUUCUCCACAUACUCCACAGCAGUCAUCCCGACCCAUGGUUAUUUAUUUGGCUAAUUUUUUUUGUCAGCCAACUCUGUACUUAAAUCCUAGCUUGUCAGUCUCUGAGGAGUGGAACGGUGCCCAUUUUCUUCCUUACCAUAGUCUCAGUACACGAUACUCUGUAACUUUUCAGCAGAUGAAAAUACGAAUCAGUAUAUACAGUUCUAUAAAGGAGUAGAAAUAAUAGAACAACCAACAUGUACGUAAAGGCUUGGAAUUUUUAUAAAAGGAAAUAAUGCAAGGGGCUCGCAAUCAAGAAAUGCCAUGUGUCCUGAAUUUUCUAGGAAGUCCAUAUGUUAAAUUUUAGUAAUUGCCUGGUUAUGUCCCUCAAUUUUUCAUUCAGAUAAUACAGGUAGUUAUAACUCAGUAACCAUCAAAGAAAAAGUAUAUCUUGUAAAAAUAGAAAAAGGGAGGAUUCUGAAAAUAGCGAAUGAGCAUUCUACCUCCACAGUUGUACUGGAAGAGGUGGUAUUAAAAUCCAGUUUAACAGCUGAAAAGAUGGUAGACCUGGGGAAUUCAGCCUGUCCAAGAAAAACUCACUCUGAUAAGGUGAGCUCAUGAUUUCCCUCCAGUUAGUUUCAUGGUGUUUGAGGUGAAGGGAAAAGGACAUCUCGAGACCUCUAGGGCAUCUGCUUGCUGGGCUGGGGCAUGGGUCACUCUGGAGCUCUCAUUCUGGCUUAUGCCAGCUACAGUUACAGCCACCUCCACAGCUCUCUAUAAAAACAACAUUCACCGUGAUCACUAAGUCAUUGGCAGAAUGUUGAAUUAUAUUACUUGUAAGAAAGAAGUGUAGAGUUUGCUAGUCAAAAAAAAUGAAAGAAAAUAGUUUAAUUCUGUUAUUGAAGAUUCUCCUAUCUAAGUUGAUCCUGGGUGGCUUAGGUGAGCUAUCGAUUUAGAGAUUAUUUUCUUUUAAAAACUAUACAUGAUUUAUAUUUGUAUCUUUAAAAUCUUGAUUUCCCACUCAGAGGUCAUUUAUAAACAAAAGCCUCAUUGUUCUCAUUCAGCAGAGGUGCAUUAUCAGGUACUGGAGAGCAUCCUAAUGAAUAAAGUCAUGCCCCAAACAAUGACAUUUCAGUCAGCAAUGCUGAUCACACAUACGAUGGUGGUCCCAUGAGAUUAUGUCACCUACUGAUGGGGAAGCCAUUCUUAGUGUAAGUACACUCUGUGAUGUUUGCAUCAUGACGGAUUAGGGGAUUUUGUCCUCAAGUGUACCUCAUGAAGCAUACUUACACAAACUAAGGUAGCUGUGAUGUCACUGGGUGGUAAAUCCUAUGGACUGGUCGUCAUAUAGAUGAUAUAUUUCACUGAGCCAAAUGUUACGUGGUUCAUGACUGUGGUGUUUGUCUCUAAAGAGCUUACAGUCUAGCGCAGGAGAAAGACACAAAGAUAAUUCCAGUUCAGGUUGUUCAUACCACAGAGGGACUGGGGUGGCAUUCAGAGGACACUAUGAGGGGGUGACAGCUGUAGCCAGGGUCAUUCACCCUAUUGUCAUGAAGCCCGGAUUUCAUGAGUCUGAAAUACAAUUCACUAUUCUCAUUUCUUGCCCGUGUAUACUUAGUACUAUAAGUGGUGUUAGCAUCAUAUGAUUCGGAUGAAAACUUAUACGAAAGGAAUUAAAAUACCUGGCACAUAGCUCUUAAGGAAUUUCAAAAAUUUCUCUUAUUUAAACCCUGCUAAUUACUCUGUGAAUUGGGAUUUUCCAGAAUCUAAGACAUCAUGUCUCAGUAACUCAAAAUCAUGAAUCUGUGUACAAUUCAAACAUAAUCUAAAUCCAAACAGGAACGAUUAAUCUUUUUUAACAUGUCAGAUGUUUAUGACAUUUUUAAAAAGAUUCUUCAGUAAAGAAUGUGUUUGUUACUAAGGAAUAUAUAGUUCUAAGUAUAAUAUAGUUUUGUGUUACUUUUGACUGAAUUCCUUUGUGAUUCCUGUGAGCUUCCUAGCGUUACAGUAAGAGCCUUUAAUACUGGCAGGAAAUUUAUAAGCAUACUUACACAGCAGUUACAGGGUAUGUUUCUUAGACCUUAUUACUAUGAUCCAGUUUCCAUUGAAGCUUAUUUUUGGUUUUCUUUAAAGGGGAAAGCACAAACUGUUGUAUAGGACAGGGAAUACAUAUGCAGUACUCUUAUGAGUGUAUGUAUAUAUAAAUGUAUUAAUGAAAUAGGUUUAUUUUUCUACAGUUCUUCUUUACAGUGCUUGAUGCUAAGUAAGCAAAAUGAUACUGAAGUGUAAAGUGGAGGGAGAUAGAAAAUGCCUUUGUAUUGCCAAGAAUUUACUAAAUGGACUAGGAUAUCCAUUCUGUACUGUGUUUUUGUAUUUGAACAGAGUCCCUUAGAAGAUUCCGUUUCUUCCCAGGCACCAUCACUAAGAAGUUCUUUCACCUUAUUUUCCUCUCAUUUCUUUCUGGUUAGACAUGAGCAGAGCAUACCCCUGUGGUGCAGUUGGUCAUCCAUACCUGCCUGCAGCAUUUCCUCCUUCGGGCUCCACCUCUGUAAUGAAUUACUCAGGAUAAUCCAAGUUAUUGUGUGUAAAAAUUUUGUUAAGCAUGUUGCCAUCCUUAAGGUUUAUGAAAUCUUAAUGUGGGUGCUUCUAUGAGUCUCUCGAGAUUAUCUGUAACAUGUUGUGUUCAUGUCUGUGUGGAAGGAAUGGUAUACAGCUUUCAUCUAUUUCUCAUGAGGGUCUGGGAUUCCAAAAAUAAGAAAAUAGUGGGAGCUGAUUGUGAGAUUUUCAGCAAUACCACCUUAUCUUCUUUUUUUUAUUAUUAAAAAAAACUCUUUAAACUUUGAUCCUUGAACAGGAGCAAAAGAUGUAGUAAUGAUUGAUUUAUUUGAGCACAUACAGGUUAUUUUGGCAUUCAUGUUUAUCUUACGGUUUUAUUAGCUAUAUCUGCCAGUUUUGAAUGGUAAAACCCAAAGUCACCAGAAUCCUUUUAUUUGGAGGCAAUACAGGUCUUUUGUAUGACCCAAGUGGAUGUGUAUCACCUAUAGAUAAUAAAUCCUAACCUCUGUGAGGAACAUGUAAGAACUGUGUGGUCCAGUACACCCUAAAAAUUAUAUCCAGUUUUGAAGUAUUCACAUUAUUAACUCUUUUUCAUUAAAUUCUUCCAAAAGAUGGACAGAUUAAACACAUUUGAUCAAAUGUUGACUGUAAUUCCUCUAAGAGAACUAACAUCAUCUUUCCAGAUAAUAUUCAAGUUGAAAUGUCUGGGAAAGAAUUAAUAGAGAACUAGGCAAGGAAGUUGGACCCAAAUUAUCAAUAAGUAGAAAUAAUUCAUUUAUUAAUUCAUUCCACCAUGGGUUCUUCCUUUCAGUACCUCUUUUCUGCUAAAAUGACCCAGAGGAAUGGUGCAUGAAAGAUGGGUGCAUUUCCUGGUGCUGUAACAAGAAAAUAACAUGCAUAGCAUUUGAGAUUUCUUUCAAUGUAUUUGUCUUUAUUAUUGUGCAUUCACUUUGCGAUUUAGCUUAUUUUAUAUAUCUACUUAGUCUUUUUAGAAGGUUUUCUUUUUUUUAAAGAUGGUUUUGUUUUGCAAGACCAAAUUUAGCUUAAAGGAGUACUCAUAUUGGUAUGCUAAUAUUGUUUUAAGGAAACUGCAAAUUAAAUAUUAACUUAUUAUCCAGGUACUCUAAUGGAUUAGUGAUAAGCAUGGCCGUAUCUUGAAAAUGGAAGCAUUUUUUUCUUGAUAUUCUAGGACCGACUGUUUUUAGAAUAUCCGUGAUUAAACAGUUUCAUAUAAUUUAAAUUUAGCAAACAAAGAACUUAGGCAUGGCAUUUUAAUAAGGGGUUUAUGUUGUACUAAGAACACAUAGUUGAAUAAAUAGAGUUUUUUGAAAGGGCACAUUUAGGGCAUUUUUAUAAUUUAAAGAUAUCUAUUCUUUAAUCUUAUACUGUACUCUCAUACCAGUACUCUGUAAGUCAAGAAGCAAAAACUUUUGUUCUCAGUAUAUAUACUCUUUUGUGACCCUCUUCCUCAUCUGCAUAGCCUUCCCCUUGUUUUUAAAUUUAACAUACCACGAACUAAACUGAACUACAUCAAUAUAGCAUUUCACUUAUAGAUGUAAAUUUUACUACUUUUAAAUUACCCACUUAUAGAUGGCAAUUUAAGGGGGAAGGAUGAACAGAAAAAAACAACAAUACAUAUGCUACAAAUUAGAAAGCAUUAAUAUUAAAUAAAAGAAGAGCCAAUUGAUGGAGACUUCCUUAUGUUUAAUAUACUAUCCUACUCAUAAUUUCCUGGAUUCCUCUAGGAAGACAUUUAAAAAUUUUGAUAUCACAAGAAUUUUUCUAUUUGGAGGGAUAUCGGUGUAUAUUAUAGUUAUUUAAUUCUGGCAGAGUUUUGACUUGAAAAGACUUUCAUGUUAUAUCUAUCAGAAAAGGAGAAACAGUCUAGGCAUUUAAUAGUUUAAUGAAUUUAUAUUGGGAAAUAUGUUAUAUAAAGGAAUUUCGUCCUGUGCAGAGGAUGAUGAUGAUGCCAUAAAAGGCAUGGUUGCUUUUUCAACAGAGUAAACGGGCUUGUCUUGGUUUAUACUAAUGCCUUAAUACAGAAAUGGAUAGAUCUAAAUUUUUAAGGUUUGCAGGUGAAGAUUUAACCACCGUUUUUGUAGGCUCAUUUAAAAAUAGUGAGUUUUUGUUUCAGAAGUGUUUGCUAAGGAUUCAUCUCCACAUGUGCACCUCAGCCUUGAAACACACACAACAUACAUGCACACACAUACACCCUCUCUUAUUCACUGUAGUUUUAUAGAUUUUUUUAAAUACUUACGAAUCCAUAAUGUUUUGACUCCGAUUGUUCAAACUGGAAUUGUCACUGGCGGGUUUUAGUCUUUCCCUGUAAUACUCAUGUGAGGAAGCUGUAGCAUUGAGCCUUCCAGAUCGGUAGCAAGGUCUCCCCAUACACACACAGACACAUGCCCAGUCUUACUUAUUGUGUGCUUUUGUUCUUUGAGAAUAUAAACAUGAGAGAAGGCUUCUUAACCCCAUACUGUUUGAUUCAGUACCUCAUUGUCUUCCCAAACAUGAUAAUAACCUAGAGUUUCUUCCAUUAGAGAGCUGACAGAGACUGAAAUUCUUAUUUUGAUAACAAGAUUGUUUUGCUACAUACACACAUAAGCUGCAAAGGCCCCAUUUUGGUGAAUAAGUCUGUCCUGGGCACUUACGGCAUAUAGCCUUAUGCCUAAGGCUACUUGAGGAAGAAGACUUUUUGAUUGUGAAUAAUGCCACAGUUAUAUGUGGGUCCUCAGUAUCCUACUUAUCAAAUUUACCUUUAUGCCAGAUAGCUUUAUGUUAAACUGCCAGUAUAUUUACAUAAUAGAUCAUUGUGGCUUAAUAAGCUACAGCAUAGGUAUACCACCUUUGUGGAUGGAACUCCUGAAAAAAAGACUUUUUCUCCCCAUUCUUGAUGUCUUAUUUCACAGAUGUCUGUCUUCAAAUGAGAAGCUGUUUGUCCACUCACAAAGUUUUCUUCAAAAGUAUAUAAUGUAAAAGGAUACAAUAGAGGAGGAGGCGGCACACUAUUUAAUACAAUUCGCAAAAUAAUUUGUACAUCUAUAGCAGAUUCGAGUUUGUAUCAGUAUUUUAAGUCCCUCAGAUUUCUUUCUACUACCUCGAAUGAAAUUUUCUCCAGCGCACAGACAGAGCUGCCGCUUUUGAUCAUUAGCAGUAGCAGUGGCUUCCUCUGUUUUGUAAGGGCAACGUAUGAAAAGUUUUUCAGUUUGUCCCUCUUCAUACCCUUCACUUGCGUGAUGCGUGUCUGAAGCUCACACGCAAAGCUUGUGUGAUCCUCACAUGCAGGAUUUUGGCUGACGGUGGCAUUCAGUAAGCAGCGCCCUGGUCUCAGGCUGGGAACUUCCUGCCCUGGCCAUUUAACGCUGACCAGCCCAGCGUGGUAGAUCCAAGCUCUGCUCAUAUUUUUUAAAAACGGGAGAACAACAAGUUUAGCCAGGGUAAGUAAUUUGGCAAGGGCCCAGUGGCAAGGCCAGGAUGUGUAAGCUCCUCAACUUAAACUUUAUUUUUUUCUUGAGGUGUCUGAGAAGAAACCUCUUUAUUUGAAGUGUGAUUCUUAGCAUUGUGUGCCAGUGUCCCCCGAGGGCUGGGGUGGACCCCACACUGCAGAUGAGUUUCGAGGACUUUGUUGUUUGUGGAUGAUGGGCUGAGAGGGACCUCUUACUGUGUGGCCCUGCCUGUCCUUGGGGUGCACUGUGGCAGGUGUGCUGGCCUGGUAUAGGGUUAAAAUAUUUUUUGCAUGUUUAGAUGUGUGAUUAUCUUAGGAGCUGUGAUUUAUGUAAUAAUUAUUCAAGCCCUGUAGUGGUAUUUUUGCAGGAUGAUGAAAGAGGUGUCCAUGCCUAAAUGGAAGGUGCCAUUAAAGGGAACUGUUUGGUAUGCACGGGAGCGUCACCAGGAUGUAGUUCCUUAUUUUCGGUACAUGGUCUGCCUCAGUGACUCUGUCCUGUAAAUCACUACAGUAUUGUAAUGUGAAUGGUCAGUAAGAAGGGUGACAUCAGAUCUUGUUUCAGUAGCAGCCGUGGUCUUUUCAUGUAGGGCUCUAACUACAGGAACAAUAUGCAUGUGCCUUAAAAGUAUACAUAAUUUUUCACUUUAUAAAAGUAAGACACUUGAAUCCAGGCGUGGUGGCACAUGCCUGUAAUGUCAGCAGUCUGGAAGGUUGAGGCAGGAGGAUUGGAAAGCAGCCUGGGCAACUUACAGACUUGGUAUAAAUGAAUAAAAAUUAAACACUUGAAAAUGGGGAAUUGCAAUUUUUGCUUCCAGUCUUCUUUGUGUAUGCAUAUGUCAAAGUAGUUGAAUAUUGCAGAGAUUAUCUUUUUGUGACCACUUGCGUUUGUCAUAUCUCACACAUACCUAUACUCCAGCAUUUUGAGAGGCUGAGGCAGGAGGAUGCACACCUAAGUGACAUAGUGAGUCUUUGUCUUCAAAGGGGAAAAAUGGCCUAAAGCUGUAGCCCAGUGGUAGAAUAUCCCUGAGUUUGUUCCUCAAUACCAAUCCCCCCAAUUACAUUGUUAUAUAUUUUAGAAAAUAUAAGAUAAUGUAUGUGUAUAUACAUAUGCCUACCUUUUGUUGAUAUGUUUGAGCAAUCUGCUAUUAUUAGAUAAGUAUUUAUAGUGAUUUUGAUAAACUGGAUUCAGCAUAAAUUUUUUGCAUUUAGAUGUAAACAUUAAAAUGAAUUUGUGUUGAAGAAAAUAUAAAUGUAUCAGUACUUUGGUAGUAUAUCAAAAGUUUAAAGAGUAAUAUAACUAGGCUUUUUAGUGCAAGCCUUCCCAUAAAGCAGGAUCUAAAUUUUUCAAAAUAUAUCUAGGUUAGCCAUAAUUUAGGAGCAUUUUGAUAUUGUAUUUAUUCAUGUAGGCAGAAAAAUAAGAUUCUUCUUGUUUUAUAAAAAUUCACACAUUGCCCUAAAAUACACUUCACCUUUUUUGAUCUCUGUAACCUAUGCAGUUUUUGAGGAAGUUUUACAGUGUUAAGAUCUGCUUUGUCCCCUUUUUGUCAUUAAUCUUUGUUCAUUCACUGUUGCACUUUGUAUUUUAUGUUAUCUUAGAAAAUGUGUUAGAUAACUUGUUAGCUACAUUACAUUUUAAGUCACAUUUUAUCAGAAUCUUUGUUUUGUAGGGCUUUGCUUUGCCAAUUCAUUAUUUAGAUUAUUUUACAUCUCUAUAUUUUAAAAAAAUCAAAAGAACAUGGUUUACCUUUCCCAUGAUGUAUAUAUUAAAAGGUGAUUUUAUGAAAAAUCUGUAGUUUACUCACUGCCGAGUUUUACUGUGGAGGGAGCCUGUUGCUGCUCUUUAAUGUCAUCAUGAUUGAACUGAGGAGUAAGAUGAAUAGAGCUCUUUGACUGAAUUUUUGCACUGUUUCAUCUUCCUUCAAUGACGUGCUGAUGCCAGGAGGGGAGAAUACUGUGAUAUUGGGAUGUCGUUUCCGCCUGAGCCAUAGCCCACCAUGCGUCCGUGUGCUGUCUGCAGUCCCUGGCUGAGUAGAACCUCAGAUGCCAGGCAUCGUUUGGCUAGAUGAACAGGGCUCUAUACUCGCAUGGUUGCACAGAGUGAAGAUUUAUUAUUUGAAUUUAA
rnacentral:lncRNA from 1 species